rnacentral:rRNA from 1 species
UACGUAGGGUGCAAGCGUUGUCCGGAAUUAUUGGGCGUAAAGAGCUCGUAGGCGGCUUGUUGCGUCGUCCGUGAAAACCCGUGGCUCAACUGCGGGCUUGCGGACGAUACGGGCAGGCUGGAGUUCGGUAGGGGAGACUGGAAUUCCUGGUGUAGCGGUGAAAUGCGCAGAUAUCAGGAGGAACACCGGUGGCGAAGGCGGGUCUCUGGGCCGAUACUGACGCUGAGGAGCGAAAGCGUGGGGAGCGAACAGG